AGUGAACGCUGGCGGUAGGCCUAACACAUGCAAGUCGAACGGCAGCACAGUAAGAGCUUGCUCUUACGGGUGGCGAGUGGCGGACGGGUGAGGAAUACAUCGGAAUCUACUUUUUCGUGGGGGAUAACGUAGGGAAACUUACGCUAAUACCGCAUACGACCUACGGUUGAAAGCAGGGGAUCUUCGGACCUUGCGCGAUUGAAUGAGCCGAUGUCGGAUUAGCUAGUUGGCGGGGUAAAGGCCCACCAAGGCGACGAUCCGUAGCUGGUCUGAGAGGAUAAUCAGCCACACUGGAACUGAGACACGGUCCAGACUCCUACGGGAGGCAGCAGUGGGGAAUAUUGGACAAUGGGCGCAAGCCUGAUCCAGCCAUACCGCGUGGGUGAAGAAGGCCUUCGGGUUGUAAAGCCCUUUUGUUGGGAAAGAAAAGCAGCAGGUUAAUACCCCGCUGUUCUGACGGUACCCAAAGAAUAAGCACCGGCUAACUUCGUG
rnacentral:rRNA from 1 species